rfam:Oryza punctata chromosome 8, whole genome shotgun sequence.
GUGACAAGAAUCACUCAGACUAGCCAAGGAGACUGCCCAUGAAACCAGCUGAAAGGACCAUUUUCUGAAUAAUAAUGAUCCUUACACACGAGGACACAGGCAAGUCAUCCUUGGCUACCAGAGCUAAACCCUUGUCU